CAAGCAGGCCGGAUGGCCGCGGGCCGGCGCUGCCGGCCUGAGGAAAGUCCGAGCUCCACAGGGCAGGGUGCUGGGUAAUGCCCAGUAAGGGUGACCUCAAGGAAAGUGCCACAGAAAUCAAACCGCCGGGGGGUAAUCCGCCGGUAAGGGUGAAACGGUGCGGUAAGAGCGCACCAGCGGUCAGGUGACUGGCCGGCUAGGCAAACCCCACCCGGAGCAAGACCAAAUAGGAGGGAGACAGAGUGGCCCGCUCUUCCCUCGGGUGUGGUCGCUCGAGGCGCAGGGUAACUUGCGUCCCAGAUAGAUGGCCAUCCUCGACAGAACUCGGCUUACAGGCCUGGUUGCUCU
rnacentral:RNase_P_RNA from 1 species